rnacentral:rRNA from 1 species
AUGGCUCAGGAUGAACGCUGGCGGCGUGCUUAACACAUGCAAGUCGAACGGUGCUUAAUGAAACCUAGUGAUUUAAGCACAGUGGCGGACGGGUGAGUAACGCGUGGGUAACCUGCCGCAUGCAGGGGGACAACAGAGGGAAACUUCUGCUAAUACCGCAUAAGCGCACGGGAUCGCAUGAUCCGGUGUGAAAAGAUUUGGUCGGCAUGCGAUGGACCCGCGUCUGAUUAGGCAGUUGGUGAGGUAACGGCCCACCAAACCUACGAUCAGUAGCCGGCCUGAGAGGGUGAACGGCCACAUUGGGACUGAGACACGGCCCAAACUCCUACGGGAGGCAGCAGUGGGGAAUAUUGCACAAUGGGGGAAACCCUGAUGCAAGCGACGCCGCGUGAGUGAAGAAGCAUUUCGGUGCGUAAAGCUCUGUCAGCAGGAAAGAAAAUGACGGUACCUGACCAAGAAGCCCCGGCUAACUACGUGCCAGCCGCCGC